rnacentral:misc_RNA from 1 species
GAAAUGCGAUAAGUAAUGUGAAUUGCAGAAUUCAGUGAAUCAUCGAAUCUUUGAACGCACAUUGCGCCCUCUGGUAUUCCGGGGGGCAUGCCUGUCCGAGCGUCAUUACUGCCCUCAAGCGCGGCUUGUGUGUUGGGCCACCGCCCCCUUUCCCCGGGGGCGGGCCCGAAAGGCAGUGGCGGCGCCGUGCCCGGUCCUCGAGCGUAUGGGGCUUUGUCACCCGCUCAGGAGGCCCGGCCGGCCGCCGCCGACCCCUUACCAACUUUUUUACCGGUUGACCUCGGAUCAGACAGGGAUACCCGCUGAGUUUAA